rnacentral:rRNA from 1 species
UACGUAGGGGGCGAGCGUUGUCCGGAUUUAUUGGGCGUAAAGCGCGUGUAGGCGGCCGGCUAGGUCUGGUGUGAAAACUCGAGGCUCAACCUCGAGAUGUCGCCGGAAACCAGUCGGCUAGAGUCCGGAAGAGGAGAGUGGAAUUCCUGGUGUAGCGGUGAAAUGCGCAGAUAUCAGGAAGAACACCUAUGGCGAAAGCAGCUCUCUGGGACGGUACUGACGCUGAGACGCGAAAGCGUGGGGAGCGAACAGG